ACAACAACAAGUUCGAAGGCGGAUCUUUCCCUGGCAGGAAAGUGGACAGAGCUUCGACGGAGCGCGGAAAAGACUUUGUGAUGGGGAAUUGGAAACGGAUAAUGUUCAGGGCUAACAGGACCCCAUAUAUCUGAUCCCCGACAUUUACGCAGCUUUUACGCGAUUUACCUGAUCUGGAACAUGAUGGGGGUUCGCAGGAGCAAAAGUCUGGCAGACAAUCACCAACGGCCUUUUUUCGUUCCGACAUACAGCCCUUUAUGAUAAAGGAUGCGUUAUGGACAUCUGACACGCAGGACUUUGAUGCAAUUCUACCGUUCUGUACGAGCGCUUUUUCAAACUCACCGCGAAUCCAGGGAACAUCGACCCCCUCCCGACAUAUUCCAGACCCCAACAGGCAACGAUCAACUGUGGCCCAAGUACACUGCUCAGAAUCAAGCCCACCCGUUGGGCCGGGAACUUGCUGCUUCACGAGCCGGCGCUCCAGGGACAAGACUGCCCGGAGACAGACCCAGCAGAAUCUGGAACGCUAGAGGGAAAAAGUCACACACCCCCGGUUUCGGCGAUUCGUCACAACAAGCGCCAAAAAAGCCGAGACUCCGCACCGGCAAAAAACGGCACAGACGACCACAUAAAUCUAGAGCUGGGGGAUUCCGGCGCCCCGAGCAUUCCGAAUGAAACACCCAAGAGACCUGUUUUUAAUGACAUGUCAGAUGUUGAUGACCAGCUAUUCUGUGAUGCGGCCAACCUUAUAGACCCAGUCAAUUCUACGGCCUCAAUACCUGCAGCCGAACAAGAAAGGUUUUUCACAUUAUUUUCCAGGGCUUUGAAAUCGAGGAAUGUUUUGCUAUACAAACGACUGGGGGAUUUAAUUGAGAGACAGUACAGAGACGAUAUGUUAUUCUGGCAUAGAACAAUUCCACGCAUGUUAAACAGCAACCCCAUUAAAAAACGCAAAUACAGACGCUAAAAUCAUACAUGUAACACCAACCAUUACAGAAAGAAAAAAACGAACACUCUUAAUUAUCCAAAAAUGGCAGAACUAACGCAACACGGGGAGACAGUUGAAAGCCUCUUAUCCCAGAUUCCAGACGAACUCCUAGAAGUUAUAAGACGUAUGAACGAUUCAGGAACGUUAGAUGAAAGCAUAUUAACACAGAUUCCAGCCGAACUCUUAGAAAUGAUUAAUCGUAUGAACCAGUCAGGGGGGGGGUUGAGGAAAACAUGUUAUCCCAGAUUCCCGAAGCCCUCAUAACCUUAAUUAAUCGUAUGAACGCGAGUCAGACAAUUUCGGCCCCGACAGCGAUAGAACAACCCGUAACGCCUAGGUCCGUAGAGUCUGAAACGCCACAAGAUGUUUUUGGGGAAUUGGACAAUUAUCUAAUAAAUCUGGCUGCAGAUGUUCAUGAUAGACGUGUCAGGGUUGUGUACAGGAAUAAAUUCAACAAUAAAGAGAUUCGACAGUUUUUCAAUUUCCUAUGUGUGAAUCAGAAUCUUGACUAUGCUGUAUUUUACAUGAUGAUAAUGGACACUCUGAAUGACCUGUUAGAAACAGCAAGAGAUUAUG